rnacentral:rRNA from 1 species
CAGCCGUAAACAAUGUGCGUUAGGUGUGUCGGUAACCACGUGUUACUGAUGUGCCGAAGAGAAAUCGUGAAACGCACCACCUGGGAAGUACGGUCGCAAGGCUGAAACUUAAAGGAAUUGGCGGGGGAGCACCACAACAGGUGGAGCCUGCGGUUUAAUUGGAUUCAACGCCGGACAUCUCACCGGAUAAGACAGCUGAAUGAUUGUCAAUCUGAAGGUUUUACAUGACUAGCUGAGAGGAGGUGCAUGGCGUCAGUGACU